rnacentral:rRNA from 1 species
GAUGAACGCUAGCGGCAGGCUUAACACAUGCAAGUCGAGGGGUAGGGCAGCAAUGCCUGAGACCGGCGCACGGGUGCGUAACGCGUAUGCAACCUACCUUUUACAGGGGGAUAGCCCAGAGAAAUUUGGAUUAAUACCCCAUGGUAUAAUUUGAUGGCAUCAUUAGAUUAUUAAAGUUCCAACGGUAAAAGAUGGGCAUGCGUCCUAUUAGCUAGAUGGUAAGGUAACGGCUUACCAUGGCUACGAUAGGUAGGGGUCCUGAGAGGGAGAUCCCCCACACUGGUACUGAGACACGGACCAGACUCCUACGGGAGGCAGCAGUGAGGAAUAUUGGACAAUGGGCGCAAGCCUGAUCCAGCCAUGCCGCGUGCAGGAAGAAGCAUCUAUGGUGUGUAAACUGCUUUUGUACGGGAAGAAACACCCCCUCGUGAGGGGGCUUGACGGUACCGUAAGAAUAAGGAUCGGCUAACUCCGUGCCAGCAGCCGCCGCGGUAA